rnacentral:rRNA from 1 species
AACGUAGGAGACAAACGUUAUCCGGAGUUACUGGGCGUAAAGGGCGCGCAGGCGGCUGCUCAAGUCAGGCGUGAAAGGCCUGGGCUCAACCCGGGAAUUGCGCUUGAGACUGGGCUGGCUUGAGUGCGGGAGAGGAUGGUGGAAUUCCCAGUGUAGAGGUGAAAUUCGUAGAUAUUGGGAAGAACACCGGUGGCGAAGGCGGCCAUCUGGACCGCAACUGACGCUGAGGCGCGAAAGCGUGGGGAGCAAACAGG